AGGGUUUGAUUCUGGCUCAGAACGAACGCUGGCGGCAGGCCUAAUACAUGCAAGUCGAGCGCGCCCUUCGGGGUGAGCGGCGGACGGGUGAGUAACGCGUGGGAAUAUGCCCUUCUCUAAGGAAUAGCCUCCGGAAACGGAGAGUAAUACCUUAUACGCCCUUUUGGGGAAAGAUUUAUCGGAGAAGGAUUAGCCCGCGUUAGAUUAGGUAGUUGGUGGGGUAAUGGCCUACCAAGCCUACGAUCUAUAGCUGGUUUGAGAGGAUGAUCAGCCACACUGGGACUGAGACACGGCCCAGACUCCUACGGGAGGCAGCAGUAGGGAAUCUUAGACAAUGGGGGCAACCCUGAUCUAGCCAUGCCGCGUGUGUGAUGAAGGCCCUAGGGUCGUAAAGCACUUUCGCCAGAGAUGAUAAUGACAGUAUCUGGUAAAGAAACCCCGGCUAACUCCGUGCCAGCCGCCGCGGUAAUAC
rnacentral:rRNA from 1 species